AGCUCUUUGUUCCGCAGGUAGAAUGAGAGGAAGAACGACCGGCGAAAUUGAGCAUCAGAAAACACCAAGAGGUGGAAUGGUGCAGGAAAAACAACCGCCGAAAUUUGGCCUCAGAAAACACCAAGAGGUGGAAUGAGAGGA